rnacentral:lncRNA from 1 species
CUGACCAGUUAUACACCAGCUCCAGCUGCAAGCUGAGUUGCCAAAUUAGUACAGAUCUGGUCCUGGCUGACAGCUCAGCUUGCCACCACCAUGACUGAGCACAUAGUGGACACGUAUCUGCACAACCACUUCUCAAGCAGCCCCUGAUUCCUCACACUGCUUUCUGGGAUAAAGCAAUGGUCCGGGCAAUGUACCACACAUCCCUGCUCUUCCGCCUCAGGCCUGCACGCUGGAGUGGCCACAGCAUCCAUAGCUCUCCACCGGAGGGGAAAGUGGGACUGGUGGAGACAAUCAUUGGAUUCUCAGCAUUCUCACUGGCAGUUCUCGGACCAGCUGGAUGGAUUCUGUGCCACCUUCCAAGCUAUAGGAUGGAACAAAAAGCAUCCCUUUUUUUCAGGGAAAAAUUAAGAUCUGGAAGCUGUGGUAAGCUGUAA